rnacentral:ncRNA from 1 species
ACAAAGUUUUGGUCCUAAACUUGCCGUUGUUUUUUAUCAAAAUUAUACAUGCAAGCCUCCCCAUACCAGUGAGAAUGCCCACAUAUUCCUUAAGAGUAGAUCGGAGCAGGCAUCAGGAUCCAAUAUAUUUAGCCAAAAACGCCUUGCUAUCGCCACGCCCACACGGGUUUUCAGCAGUAAUUGACAUUAAAAAUGAGCGAAAGCUCGAUUUAGUUAUGAUAAACAUAGUCGGUAAAUUUCGUGCCAGCCACCGCGGUUAUACGAAAGACUACAAACAACGACUCUCGGCGUAAAGCGUGAUUAAGGCUUAAAGCUAACUAGAGGGGUACACCUGCCAGGUCGUAAAACACUACUGCACCUAGAACCACAACCCGCUCGCCUCUAAAAUACCCGCCUUCACGAAAGCUAAGAAACAAACUGGGAUUAGAUACCCCACUAUGCUUAGCCCUAAACAACGAUCUUAUCUUACAAUAUUAUCCGCCAGAGAACUACAAGCGAAAAGCUAAAAACUCUAAGGACUUGGCGGUGCUUCAAACCAACCUAGAGGAGCCUGUCCUAUAAUCGAUACUCCACGCUUUACCUUACCCCCCUUUGCUAAUCAGUCUAUAUACCGCCGUCGUCAGCUUACCUUAUGAAAGAAAUAAAGUAGGCAAAAUAGUUAAUAACUAACACGUCAGGUCAAGGUGUAACAUACGGGGCGGUCAGAGAUGGGCUACAUUUUACAACAAUUACACGAAUAACGCAUUGAAAUACGUGUUUAAAGGUGGAUUUAGUAGUCGUAUAGAGAAGAAAACCUAUACUAAACCCGCUCUGAAGCGCGCACACACCGC